rnacentral:rRNA from 1 species
UACGUAGGGAGCAAGCGUUGUCCGGAUUUACUGGGCGUAAAGGGCGCGUAGGCGGCCUAUUAAGUGUGGUGUGAAAUCUCCAGGGCUCAACCCGGAAACUGCACCGCAUACUGGUAGGCUGGAGGAAGGUAGAGGUAAGUAGAAUUCCCGGUGUAACGGUGACAUGUGUAGAUAUCGGGAGGAAUACCAAUAGCGAAGGCAGCUUACUGGGCCUUUCCUGACGCUGAGGCGCGAAAGCGUGGGUAGCAAACAGA